GACGAACGCUGGCGGCGUGCUUAACACAUGCAAGUCGAACGGUGAGGCCCUUCGGGGUACACGAGUGGCGAACUGGUGAGUAACACGUGGGUGAUCUGCCCUGCACUUCGGGAUAAGCCUGGGAAACUGGGUCUAAUACCGGAUAAUGUCUUCGGACCAAAGGUGUGAUUCCACCUUGGGAGGGGCCUGCAUCCUAUUAGCUUGUUGGUGGGGUGAUGGCCUACCAAGGCGACGACGGGUAGCCGGCCUGAGAGGGUGAACGGCCACACUGGGACUGAGAUACGGCCCAGACUCCUACGGGAGGCAGCAGUGGGGAAUAUUGCACAAUGGGCGCAAGCCUGAUGCAGCGACGCCGCGUGGGGGAUGACGGCCUUCGGGUUGUAAACCUCUUUCAGCACCGACGAAGCGCAAGUGACGGUAGGUGCAGAAGAAGGACCGGCCAACUACGUGCCAGCCGCCGCCGUAA
rnacentral:rRNA from 1 species